UUUAAGUGAAGAGUUUGAUCCUGGCUCAGAGUGAACGCUGGCGGUAGGCCUAACACAUGCAAGUCGAACGGCAGCACAGAGGAGCUUGCUCCUUGGGUGGCGAGUGGCGGACGGGUGAGGAAUACAUCGGAAUCUACUUUUUCGU
rnacentral:rRNA from 1 species